UACGUAGGGCGCAAGCGUUGUCCGGAAUCAUUGGGCGUAAAGAGCUCGUAGGUGGUCUGUUACGUCUGCUGUGAAAGCCCCGGGCUUAACCCGGGAAUGGCAUUGAAUACUGCUGGACUGGAGGAUCGGAGGGGGGACUGGAAUUCUUGGUGUAGCAGUGAAAUGCGUAGAUAUCAAGAGGAACACCAGUGGCGAAGGCGAGUCCCUGGACGAUACCUGACACUGAGGCACGAAAGCUAGGGGAGCAAACAGG
rnacentral:rRNA from 1 species